rnacentral:rRNA from 1 species
UACGUAGGGUGCAAGCGUUGUCCGGAAUCAUUGGGCGUAAAGAGCGCGUAGGCGGCCCUGUAAGUCCGCUGUGAAAGUCAAGGGCUCAACCCUGGGAUGCGGGUGGAUACUGCCGGGCUCGAGUCCGGAAGAGGCGAGUGGAAUUCCCGGUGUAGCGGUGAAAUGCGCAGAUAUCGGGAGGAACACCAAUGGCGAAGGCAGCUCGCUGGGACGUGACUGACGCUGAGACGCGAAAGCGUGGGGAGCAAACAGG